GCCACGCUUGCUAACUUCUUUACUUGAGCAGUCCAUAGCUCCUCAAAAAGGCCGAGCCGCUCUGCCAACCACUGUGGAGGGGCUGGCACAGCUGCCUGGAGAGAAAGAUGUUAGGAGCACACUUUUGAAAUCCAGUCA